UUGAUCAUGGCUCAGGAUGAACGCUAGCGGCGUGCCUUAUGCAUGCAAGUCGAACGGUCUUAAGCAAUUAAGAUAGUGGCGAACGGGUGAGUAACGCGUAAGUAACCUACCUCUAAGUGGGGGAUAGCUUCGGGAAACUGAAGGUAAUACCGCAUGUGGUGGGCCGACAUAUGUUGGUUCACUAAAGCCGUAAGGCGCUUGGUGAGGGGCUUGCGUCCGAUUAGCUAGUUGGUGGGGUAAUGGCCUACCAAGGCUUCGAUCGGUAGCUGGUCUGAGAGGAUGAUCAGCCACACUGGGACUGAGACACGGCCCAGACUCCUACGGGAGGCAGCAGCAAGGAAUCUUGGGCAAUGGGCGAAAGCCUGACCCAGCAACGCCGCGUGAGGGAUGAAGGCUCUCGGGUUGUAAACCUCUUUUCAUAGGGAAGAAUAAUGACGGUACCUGUGGAAUAAGCUUCGGCUAACUACGUGCCAGCAGCCGCGGUAAUACGUAGGAAGCAAGCGUUAUCCGGAUUUAUUGGGCGUAAAGUGAGCGUAGGUGGUCUUUCAAGUUGGAUGUGAAAUUUCCCGGCUUAACCGGGACGAGUCAUUCAAUACUGUUGGACUAGAGUACAGCAGGAGAAAACGGAAUUCCCGGUGUAGUGGUAAAAUGCGUAGAUAUCGGGAGGAACACCAGAGGCGAAGGCGGUUUUCUGGGUUGUCACUGACACUGAGGCUCGAAAGCGUGGGGAGCGAACAGAAUUAGAUACUCUGGUAGUCCACGCCUUAAACUAUGGACACUAGGUAUAGGGAGUAUCGACCCUCUCUGUGCCGAAGCUAACGCUUUAAGUGUCCCGCCUGGGGAGUACGGUCGCAAGGCUAAAACUCAAAUGAAUUGACGG
rnacentral:rRNA from 1 species